ensembl:lncRNA
ACAAGUUCCAGUUAGGGAACAAGCUUGUUUCACAUAAACUUCUCAGUUUCAGGAGGUCCCAUUUACUAAUUGCAGGCCUCAGUGUCUGUGCUACUGGUGUAAUGUUCAGGAAGCGGUCUCCUGUGCCAAUUUGUUCAAGGACACAUCUGAGUAUCAGUUGCUGACUACAGGCUGUUCCAAAGUAGACUGCGAGGCCUGGACUUGCUGUGGAUAUGAACCAGUCCAGCUGAUAUGGACACCCCCGUCUCUGCAACAGAGUCUGCUAACCAGAAGCUCCUGAUGGAUUUCCCAUUGCCUAAAUUCCCCUUUUUGCUUUUGACUAGCAUUUCAGCCUUCUUGGGUCCCGAAGUCAGCAGGAAGUAGCAUGGGAAAGAAUUUACCACCCAUUUUCCCUGGUUAAAAUGCUAAGUCAAAAGGAACUCCCUUACAUAGGGGAUGCCAAUACCUCCCACUCCCUGAUGGGGUUGCUGAAGAGACAGCAAUUCCAUGAUUGGAAUCUCCAAAAAAGAAAAUGGGGAAAUGAAGGGACCAGCUCCCCAUUUUGGCAGCCAUAACAGCCAAACACGUACUUGCCUGACCUUGCCUUGGUCAUUAGGAGUUCAGAUGCCUGCCUCGUGGCAAGGAACCAAUCAGAAGUUAUCUGGUGGUGCUAUGCUUUAUGGCUCUGGGUGUGCUUUACAGACAAGUGCACAGCAAUGACACGCAGAGCUUAGCAACCACCCUGGGAGGGCCUAUGGGCCAUAACAACCAGUUGACCAAUCAACACAGGGUAAACCCUCCAGGCCUGGAGGCACACUAAUCCUGAGCUUGUGUGUACCCCUAGACACUCCUCUUACACUGCCCUAUAAGAUCUCUAUGCAGUGGCUUCUUGCCUUCUUUCCUAGCCAUCUGCUAUGGUGGAUGGAUGAAAGACCCAAGCUAACAUGGGGUUAGCUUGUUA